AAAUGACUCACCAGCAGAUCUCUUUAAAUUGCAGAUUCUGGUUCAGUAUCUCUGAGGCCUGAGAUUCUGCAUUUCCAGCAAGCUCCCAGGAGAGGCUUGU
rnacentral:pre_miRNA from 1 species